AUACGUAGGUGGCAAGCGUUGUCCGGAAUAACUGGGCGUAAAGCGCAUGUAGACGGCAUGAUAAGCCAAAUGUGAAAUGUAGGGGCUCAACCCCUACACUGCGAUUGGAACUGUCAAGCUUGAGUGCAGGAGAGGCAAAUGGAAUUCCCAGUGUAGCAGUGAAAUGCGUAGAGAUUGGGAGGAACACCAGUGGCGAAGGCGAUUUGCUGGACUGCAACUGACGUUGAGAUGCGAAAGCCAGGGGAGCAAACGGGAUUAGAUACCCCGGUAGUCCUGGCCGUAAACGAUGGAUACUAGGUGUAGAGGGUAUCGACCCCUUCUGUGCCGCAGUGAACGCAAUAAGUAUCCCGCCUGGGGAGUACGGUCGCAAGACUGAA
rnacentral:rRNA from 1 species